UCCACAGUCCUCCAAAUGAAAAAAAGUAUGGAACCAAAAACGCGAGUGGUGGAGCAAACAUCCUAUGUGGACACUACCAUCGAACCUGAGCUGGCAAAAAGGAGAGCAGAAUUACUGGAUUAUUCAGCAUCACACAGUAACUCCAGUUCCUCGCUUGAGGUUUUAGAGCUGGAAGCAGUUGGAGAGGAUGACACCAGUUAUCAAGAGCACCUGAAUUUCAUCUUAAGGAGUUGGCCAAGAAGCAAC